AGAGUUUGAUCCUGGCUCAGGAUGAACGCUAGCUACAGGCUUAACACAUGCAAGUCGAGGGAACGACAUCGAAAGCUUGCUUUUGAUGGGCGUCGACCGGCGCACGGGUGAGUAACGCGUAUCCAACCUGCCCACCACUUGGGGAUAACCUUGCGAAAGUAAGACUAAUACCCAAUGACGUCUCUAGAAGACAUCUGAAAAGAGAUUAAAGAUUUAUCGGUGAUGGAUGGGGAUGUGUCUGAUUAGCUUGUUGGCGGGGUAACGGCCACCAAGGCGACGAUUCAGUAGGGGUUCUGAGAGGAAGGUCCCCCACAUUGGAACUGAGACACGGUCCAAAACUCCUACGGGAGGCA
rnacentral:rRNA from 1 species